UGCGCCUCGUGGGCUUGAGUUCGCUCCUUGGCUGGGGAGACGUGCGUGGGGGCCAUCCUCCGCGUCCCUUACGGUCCUGGGCCGGUGGGCCCGCCUCGCCGCGCCUAUUUGCGUCAGCAGGCAGGGCCUGGUGGGAUCAGGGAGAACCCACGAAAGACACGCUGUGAAUGCCACGUUUCUGUGUGUAGAAAUGGAAGCAGAGGAAGGCCGGCAUCUGAGUGUCUUUGUCCGCUCCCAUGAAGGAAGUCCCCAGCUGGGGCCAGGCAUCCAAAGACUAGCCUUGUCUGGGCUGGCACAAAGGCAGCCCCCGGCUGGAAGACCAGAAAAGUCUGGUGGUGGAUGGCAACUCGCGCUCAGUCAAACUGGAUGCACAUCCCAGCUUCACUGCUUACCAGCCGAGUGAUGCUGGGCAAGUUACGAAUACCUGCUUCCGCUUCCUCUGCAAAAUGGGGAACAGUCCUUCAGAAACUGAGGACCAAGCUGAACAUCACAGCUGCCCAUUCAAGACCUGCUACAUAAUUUGUGGAGCCCAGUGCAAACAAAAAUUGUAGAGCUCCUUGUUCAAAACUUAAGAAUGUCAAGAUGAUGACGGCAGAGUUCAGAGCCCUUCUGAGGGUGGAGUGCCAUGUGACUGCACAUGGCCCACCCUGUGCUCCCACUGGUGGUCCAUGGUCCUGUGUUGUCCUACGGAACCUACGAGGCUGGAUGGGGUCUGCCCAGAGCAGGAGAGAGCCAGGCGAGUAGCCAGCUGGGCCACGCAAAGGGCACCUGCAGGCAUGGUCUGUGUCCAUGCAGCUCGCCUGGGCAGCCUGGCUCGCAGCUCCUAUCCUGCCACCUGCCAUAGAGCUGCCGGCUCUCUGCCCCCUUGCCUUUAUGUUUGUUAUUGUGAUAGAACGUGUAUCUAGAAUAAAGUGCACAAGUCCAAAGUA
rnacentral:lncRNA from 1 species